rnacentral:rRNA from 1 species
UGCAACCUACGGGACGCAGCAGUGGGGAAUAUUGCACAAUGGGGGAAACCCUGAUGCAGCGACGCCGCGUGAGUGAAGAAGUAUUUCGGUAUGUAAAGCUCUAUCAGCAGGGAAGAAGAAAGACGGUACCUGACUAAGAAGCCCCGGCUAACUACGUGCCAGCAGCCGCGGUAAUACGUAGGGGGCAAGCGUUAUCCGGAUUUACUGGGUGUAAAGGGAGCGUAGACGGCUGUGCAAGUCUGAAGUGAAAUCCCAGGGCU